rnacentral:lncRNA from 1 species
UCCCUUAAAAUUAAGGAUUAAUUUUAUAUAGAUCCCUGCAAACAUAAUGAAUAACAAAUAUAUUCCUACAAAGUUCAACUUUCAUAUGUUGUCCCUACAAAAGUCCUGACGUUUUCAAAUAUAUUCCUGCCGUUAGAAUUCAUUAGAAAAAUUCAGUUAACUAUGAAUUAAAUACUUAACUCUGAUCAAUUUUUGACAUUUUUAUCUUUCUUAUAUUAUAUUGUUUUGACUUUUGGAGAAAUAUAUUUGUGUUGACAAAAUUUAAAAUAUAAACAGUUCUCUAAUAGUCCUCUAACGAUAACAAACUAGAGGAAUGUAUUUGAAAAUAUCAGGAUCGAUUUUUACAGAAACAAUAUAUGAAAGUUCAUGAUAGGAGUAUAUUUGUCAUUCACUAUAUUUGUAAGGACUUGUAUGAAAUUAAUCCUAAAUUAACGUACCAAACUAAAAUUUAAUACUUUUGUUGUAGUAUC